UGGAGGUGUGGUCGGCUUCGUCGACGCCUGUCUCUGGAACGGGCUUGGUGUCAGUGCCUGUGGGCGUGAGCGCGGUGCCGAUGCCCCAUCCUGCUG
rnacentral:tRNA from 1 species